GAUCUUCAGAUUAGCCAUGCAUGUCUCAGUAUAAAUGGUAUACAAUGAAACUGCGAAUGGCUCAUUAAAACAGUUAUAGUUUAUUUGGUAACCCAACUUACAUGGAUAACCGUGGUAAUUCUAGAGCUAAUACAUGCUGUCAAGCCCGACUCACCAAGGGCCGUAUUUAUUAAAUAUCAGCCAAUAAGCAUCUGCUAUUGUGGUGACUCAUAGUAACUUAAUCGGAUCGCAUGGGCUUGUGCUUCGACGGCAAUUCAAGUUCUGUUUCUGACCUACCCCUUCCGACGGAUUGGUAUUGACCUACCACGGCAAUGACGGGUAACGGAUAAUUAGGGUUCGAUUCCGGAAAGGGAGCCUGAGAAACGGCUACCACAUCUAAGGAAGGCAGCAGGCGCGCAAAUUACCCUCUCCCGACGCGGGGAUGUAGUGACAAGAAAUAUCACUACAUGGCAUCAUUGUCUUGAAAAAUGGAAUGAAUAGAAUUCAUUCCCUUUGCGAGU
rnacentral:rRNA from 1 species